rnacentral:snoRNA from 1 species
CUUGCUAUGAUGAGAUUAAGAACACGGGAGUGUUCUGUAGGCAGUGGACAAGAUCUAGUGGUCUUGCCGUGAGCCUUACAUAAUAAACGACUUCUCCUUCCACUUAGCAAC